AACACAUGCAAGUCGAACGCAGUAGCAAUACUGAGUGGCAAACGGGUGAGUAUAAUGUGGGAAUCUGCCUUUUGGUUUGGAAUAACACGGGGAAACUUGUGCUAAUACCGAAUAAGCCCUUACGGGGAAAGUUUUAAUGCCGAAAGAUGAGCCCGCACUUGAUUAGCUAGUUGGUAAGGUAAAAGCUUACCAAGGCAACGAUCAAUAGCUGUUCUUAGAGGAAGACCAGCCACAUUGGGACUGAGACACGGCCCAAACUCCUACGGGAGGCAGCAGUGGGGAAUCUUGCACAAUGGAGGAAACUCUGAUGCAGCGAUGCCGCGUGAGUGAAGAAGGCCCUUGGGUUGUAAAGCUCUUUCGUCGGGGAAGAAAAUGACUGUACCCGAAUAAGAAGGUCCGGCUAACUUCGUGCCAGCAGCCGCGGUAAUACGAAGGGACCUAGCGUAGGUCGGAUUUACUGGGCUUAAAGAGUUCGUAGGUGGUUGAAAAAGCUGGUGGUGAAAUCCCAGAGCUUAACUCUGGAACUGCCAUCAAAACUUUUCAGCUAGAGUAUGAUAGAGGAAAGCAGAAUUUCUAGUGUAGAGGUGAAAUUCGUAGAUAUUAGAAAGAAUACCAACUGCGAAGGCAGCUUUCUGGAUCAUUACUGACAC
rnacentral:rRNA from 1 species